rnacentral:lncRNA from 1 species
AAUGAAUGGAUAGCAGUCGACAGACUAUGAACUUUGUUUUCAAUUUUUGAAAAGGUUAUACAGAACUUCAUCUGCAAAGCAUCAUGUCUUACAAGCACGGAGGGUAAUCAUCCUGUUAUGCCUUGUAUUGAUCAAUACUACUUGCUAGAAUGAUAUUUUCGUUCAUCAUAUCCGCCUUUGGCACACAAAAGUUUCCUAGAUUCGGGAUGUUCAUACUUAGUCUGGAAUCCAAACCAAAACAAUUCGGUUGGAUAACAAUAAUAUUUAUCAUGUUCAACGAUUUUUUUUAAAUCCAUGUCUAGUCGAGUCAAAUAGCUUAGACGGCUUUUAAUUAAUAUAUACAUACCAGAAUUGAAUAAGUAUGUACCAACAAGUACAACCAUUAUCCAAGUGAGGACACUUGCAUGACCAAACCUAGCUAUUAACGAACAUGGUAU